GUUAUAUGGUCAAGUGAAGAAGCGCAUACGGUGGAUGCCUUGGCAGUCAGAGGCGAUGAAAGACGUGGUAGCCUGCGAAAAGCUUCGGGGAGUCGGCAAACAGACUUUGAUCCGGAGAUCUCUGAAUGGGGGAACCCACCUAGGAUAACCUAGGUAUCUUGUACUGAAUCCAUAGGUGCAAGAGGCGAACCAGGGGAACUGAAACAUCUAAGUACCCUGAGGAAAAGAAAUCAACCGAGAUUCCCUUAGUAGUGGCGAGCGAACGGGGAUUAGCCCUUAAGCUUCAUUGAUUUUAGCGGAACGCUCUGGAAAGUGCGGCCAUAGUGGGUGAUAGCCCCGUACGCGAAAGGAUCUUUGAAGUGAAAUCGAGUAGGACGGAGCACGAGAAACUUUGUCUGAACAUGGGGGGACCAUCCUCCAAGGCUAAAUACUACUGACUGACCGAUAGUGAACCAGUACCGUGAGGGAAAGGCGAAAAGAACCCCGGAGAGGGGAGUGAAAUAGAACCUGAAACCGUAUGCGUACAAGCAGUGGGAGCCUACUUGUUAGGUGACUGCGUACCUUUUGUAUAAUGGGUCAGCGACUUAUAUUCAGUGGCAAGCUUAACCGUAUAGGGUAGGCGUAGCGAAAGCGAGUCUUAAUAGGGCGUUUAGUCGCUGGGUAUAGACCCGAAACCGGGCGAUCUAUCCAUGAGCAGGUUGAAGGUUGGGUAACACUGACUGGAGGACCGAACCCACUCCCGUUGAAAAGGUAGGGGAUGACUUGUGGAUCGGAGUGAAAGGCUAAUCAAGCUCGGAGAUAGCUGGUUCUCCUCGAAAGCUAUUUAGGUAGCGCCUCAUGUAUCACUCUGGGGGGUAGAGCACUGUUUCGGCUAGGGGGUCAUCCCGACUUACCAAACCGAUGCAAACUCCGAAUACCCAGAAGUGCCGAGCAUGGGAGACACACGGCGGGUGCUAACGUCCGUCGUGAAAAGGGAAACAACCCAGACCGCCAGCUAAGGUCCCAAAGUUGUGGUUAAGUGGUAAACGAUGUGGGAAGGCUUAGACAGCUAGGAGGUUGGCUUAGAAGCAGCCAUCCUUUAAAGAAAGCGUAAUAGCUCACUAGUCGAGUCGGCCUGCGCGGAAGAUGUAACGGGGCUCAAACCACACACCGAAGCUGCGGGUGUCACGUAAGUGACGCGGUAGAGGAGCGUUCUGUAAGCCUGUGAAGGUGAGUUGAGAAGCUUGCUGGAGGUAUCAGAAGUGCGAAUGCUGACAUGAGUAACGACAAUGGGUGUGAAAAACACCCACGCCGAAAGACCAAGGGUUCCUGCGCAACGUUAAUCGACGCAGGGUUAGUCGGUUCCUAAGGCGAGGCUGAAAAGCGUAGUCGAUGGGAAACAGGUUAAUAUUCCUGUACUUCUGGUUACUGCGAUGGAGGGACGGAGAAGGCUAGGCCAGCUUGGCGUUGGUUGUCCAAGUUUAAGGUGGUAGGCUGAAAUCUUAGGUAAAUCCGGGGUUUCAAGGCCGAGAGCUGAUGACGAGUCGUCUUUUAGAUGACGAAGUGGUUGAUGCCAUGCUUCCAAGAAAAGCUUCUAAGCUUCAGGUAACCAGGAACCGUACCCCAAACCGACACAGGUGGUCGGGUAGAGAAUACCAAGGCGCUUGAGAGAACUCGGGUGAAGGAACUAGGCAAAAUGGCACCGUAACUUCGGGAGAAGGUGCGCCGGCUAGGGUGAAGGAUUUACUCCGUAAGCUCUGGCUGGUCGAAGAUACCAGGCCGCUGCGACUGUUUAUUAAAAACACAGCACUCUGCAAACACGAAAGUGGACGUAUAGGGUGUGACGCCUGCCCGGUGCCGGAAGGUUAAUUGAUGGGGUUAGCGCAAGCGAAGCUCUUGAUCGAAGCCCCGGUAAACGGCGGCCGUAACUAUAACGGUCCUAAGGUAGCGAAAUUCCUUGUCGGGUAAGUUCCGACCUGCACGAAUGGCGUAACGAUGGCGGCGCUGUCUCCACCCGAGACUCAGUGAAAUUGAAAUCGCUGUGAAGAUGCAGUGUAUCCGCGGCUAGACGGAAAGACCCCGUGAACCUUUACUGUAGCUUUGCACUGGACUUUGAGCCUGCCUGUGUAGGAUAGGUGGGAGGCUUUGAAGCGUGGACGCCAGUUCGCGUGGAGCCAUCCUUGAAAUACCACCCUGGCAUGCUUGAGGUUCUAACUCUGGUCCGUGAUCCGGAUCGAGGACAGUGUAUGGUGGGCAGUUUGACUGGGGCGGUCUCCUCCUAAAGAGUAACGGAGGAGUACGAAGGUGCGCUCAGACCGGUCGGAAAUCGGUCGCAGAGUAUAAAGGCAAAAGCGCGCUUGACUGCGAGACAGACACGUCGAGCAGGUACGAAAGUAGGUCUUAGUGAUCCGGUGGUUCUGUAUGGAAGGGCCAUCGCUCAACGGAUAAAAGGUACUCCGGGGAUAACAGGCUGAUACCGCCCAAGAGUUCAUAUCGACGGCGGUGUUUGGCACCUCGAUGUCGGCUCAUCACAUCCUGGGGCUGAAGCCGGUCCCAAGGGUAUGGCUGUUCGCCAUUUAAAGUGGUACGCGAGCUGGGUUUAGAACGUCGUGAGACAGUUCGGUCCCUAUCUGCCGUGGACGUUUGAGAUUUGAGAGGGGCUGCUCCUAGUACGAGAGGACCGGAGUGGACGAACCUCUGGUGUUCCGGUUGUCACGCCAGUGGCAUUGCCGGGUAGCUAUGUUCGGAAAAGAUAACCGCUGAAAGCAUCUAAGCGGGAAACUUGCCUCAAGAUGAGAUCUCACUGGGAACUUGAUUCCCCUGAAGGGCCGUCGAAGACUACGACGUUGAUAGGCUGGGUGUGUAAGCGUUGUGAGGCGUUGAGCUAACCAGUACUAAUUGCCCGUGAGGCUUGACCAUAUAACACCCAAACA
rnacentral:rRNA from 1 species